CCCUUAGAUGUCCUGGGCUGCACGCGCGCUACACUGGAAGUUACGGAUUGAGAUACUACCUUGUCCGAAAUGGUCCGGGUAAUCACCUAAAAGCUUGUCAUAAUUGGAAUGGAUUAUUGUAACUAGUAAUCCUGAACGAGGAAUUCCUAGUAAGUCCCAGUCAACAGCUGGUACUGAUUACGUCCCUGCCCUUUGUACACACCGCCCGUCGCUACUACUGAUUGGACGUUUAAGCAAGAUUUUUAAACACUGUCAGUGUGUAGUUCACGCUAUACUACAGUGAGAAGAAGAAGAUCGAGCUUACUUGUCUAGAGGAAGUAAAAGUCGUAACA
rnacentral:rRNA from 1 species